rnacentral:lncRNA from 1 species
GGUUUCUUCUUCUCUUUAUCGAUCUUACUCUCGAUUACCAUUUGUGUUCGUAUCAAUGGUAUCAGAGCUAUCGUCCUCUUGACUGUGGGUUAGGGCAACAAACAUUUCCUUUCAUUGCAAUUAGGCUACAACAAACGAAUCAAGAACAAACGAUUAGGCGAUUAGGGCAAGAAGCGGUAUUCAGCAACACACAAACGAAGACUUACAAACAAAAACAUCAGCGAUUCAGCAGCAACAACAAAUCAAGAACAAGCGAUUACAUGGAAUUUGUUGCGGGCGAGAUUAUGGCACUGAGCCAAGAAGGUCAAGUCCAAACUUUACCUUUAGUUACCAGACAACAUGCUUUGGGUUAUCAGAUCAAGAAAAUAUACGUCCAAUAAAUAAGAAUAGAAAGAAGAAGGCAAUGGCACAUAUGUGGCACAAAUGGAAAUCCAAAUUUCCAUUUCUCAUUAUGAUCGUGAACGGUUGUUGUUCGAACAGGUUGGCAAAGAUGUACAUGUGGCACAUAUGGAAAUCUAAACUGUGGUUCUACAUUUUGACCCCAUAUGGCAGGUUUUUCAUUAUUA